UGGUCAUGCACUGUAACACACUGAGCACCAGGCUGGGACACAAGAGUACUGCCACUGGCAGGUUGUGAUACUUUAAAUCUUUGUGCCUCAGUUUACCCGUUGAUUAAGAUGAUAACCUUCCCAGAGUGUUGUGGUGAUUAAUUAUUAAUGUUAGUAAAGCGUUUUGAAGAUGAAGAGUGCUACAUGCAGGCUAAAGAUAUUAAUUACCUCAGAGUCAUGAUGAAAUUUGAUAUUUACAUAAUGAACCAGUCAUGGAAGAGGUGCAGAGAUGGUCUCUCCUGCUGAACAGAUUCUUCUAAAUCAGCUAUCUCUUCCAUCAUCAUUAUCUAAAUCAAAUCAAAUCCUUUUUUCCAUGGGGAAUCUGCUUUUGGAGCUAGCAAAGCCCACAUGCUCCAUGUGAGACUCCCAGGAUGGCAAGCAGCCAUGGUACCUUUGCUAAUUUCAGUCCCUGCCCAUGAAACUCACCUCACCCAGAACUUGUUUCAACUUCUCCAGCUGUUCUUGGCAUGUGUUGAGAUUUCAUAAAGUUGAUGCCAUCAACUCCCACACAUAUGGCAAGAGAGAGUGAGAGAGAAAACCCACACACAGUAACUAAUAUAUAGGGAGAAGAGGUAUUUGCAUGGGAGAGCACAAACAUGAGGCUUUUCUAGCUGGCUCCAAUGGCUCUUGACUGUUAAUGCCAAGAUGCAAAGGGAUAUGCAAAUUAGGAGGAUGACUCAGAGAGUCCUUUCCAACGCAUAACUCCAGGAAGACGCAUGAUGCUUCGAGCAGGGCCACUCGAUUAAUUUAUACGGAGGUCAGCUGGCUAAUUUUCACUGCAGUCCACAGUGUGGUGUGAAGCAGUGUCAUCGCUUGGACUCUGCCGGAGUUGGCAGGUAGCACGUGGCGGCUUCACGGCUGGGAGCUGUGGUUGCACAUUACAGCUGCUUCCUGAGAGACUGGUGAGGAAUGUAGAAGGUGACCAUGUCUAGGCCAUGGCAGAAGCUGGGAAGAUCUUAUUCAUGGUCCAGAUUCAGAAUGCAGUCUACCCUUGAGUUAGUUUUGCUAAGACAUUUUACCUGUGAUACAGUAGUUUUAUUCUCCUUAGAUGUCCUUUUUCCGUUUCCUUUGGAGGCAAGUGCAUAAUUUUUCAAACUUUCUCAGCCUGAGACUUGUUUUCCUUCCAUAAUUCAUUAUCAAGAUGAUACUAAUUAUUUGAUAGAUCCUUUAAAUUUGUAAUCUCACCCUACUUUCAACGGGAAAAAUCUGGAAACUGCAGGCAAGGGAGAGUUUGAACAAAACCACAGAGUGCAGGCAAUAACACCCAUUUCCAUACUCACAUUUAGAUGUGGGAAGAUUUCCAGGGGAAUCCACAUUUAUCUCCUAGAGCCAGGACUUCAGGAGGAGCAUAGUUUUUUUCAGCACUGAGAAGUCACAUGAAACUUUUGCUGAGGGUUUGGUCUGCCUGUUCCAGGACAACAAGCUGUGAUGCUGGGGAUAAGGCAGGAAUCAACAAUGCCAGGACUCAGUGCGACACACUUUCUGACACGGAAUGGGGAUGAAUCUCAGGUUCCCCUGCUCGCUUAGCCUCAAAGUCAUCGGGUGCGAACGGACACUGGACAUCUAUCCAGACUUACUGCCACUGUGUUAACGAGGCGCUUGGCACUGUUCUUCCCUUGCCAGUCUCUUUCAGUAGCUGAGAACAGAAUCAAUUCCUUGGAGCUCCUCAGUCUCUUGCGCUUGCCGUGCCGUUUAGCACUGGUUAUCUUCUUUGCUCUGCCUUGUUUAGCGCAGGACCCAGCCUAUCAGCUGCACUUGCUUCAUUAGUCACUAAUGGCCUGCACACUUAGAAAGCAUUUAAAUGUAUUUUAUAGCGAUUGAAAGACUACAGUGAUAUUUUGCUAAUUAUCUCAUUGCAUACCCAGAGAGCCCUGCAAAAGCUUGGCCACAUUGUGGGGUUUAUUGGACACCAAGCAGCAGGCCUUCCAUUUCCUUUUCUAUUUAUACUCUCUGUUCUAAUGAAAACCACAAAUCUUUCCAGGUGACUUGUUUAUUAAGUGAAUUUAGAGCAGUUCACAUUUGCAUUUAUUAAUUUUCUAGAAAAACUGGUAUUACUAGUUGCUUAGGUCUCUAACUGCUAUCUCAGCUGCCAUUGGAUACCAGCUGCAGAUCUUGGUAGUAGGGCUUUGUUGAUGAUUAAGCCCAUGACGUGAUUUUCAGUGGCAUGGAGCACCUGCAGCUUCCUUCAGCUUCACGAUGACCUGAGGAGGACUCAGCACCUCGGACAACACCUCUGCCUUGCGUGUGCAAAGCGAAAAUAAAUGCAAAAAAAUCUUUAGGACCAGAUUUUCAAAACUGUGUGCACAGAAGGGUAACUGUUUGUCUAACCUGAGCGUGCAUCUGCUCUGAUUUCUAAUACCUUCAAGGUAAUGGCACAUCUGAAUUAUUCUUAUGAAUUGCAUGUUUAAGCACAAUGUGAGAGCCAAGUCCUAAAGCUACUCAUGUCCCAAUACAUGAACAUGAACUGAUUUUAUUUUUAAUAUGAAUGUUUGGGUUUCUGAGCUUAGGCACUGAAUUUUGAUAUGCCCUUAUCUGAAGAACUCUCUGUAGUACCUUCUCCCCAAGGUAGUACUCACAGAUCCCUCUGUGCCCUGGAGUUUUGUUCUAUGUUUCCUUGACUGCGUGAUCAGAAAUGCUCUUUCAGUAGUUUCACCUCAUUUCUUUUCACUAAUGAUAGAUCUUUUCUCUCUGCAAAGCCACCUUCAAAUUCUUGAUUUCUUUUACUGGGUCACUGUUAACUCUUCUAUGCUCUACAUAAUAAUGCUGCAGAUUUCUUGUAGAUAGGCAUCAUGCCAGUCUCCUUCAUAGAACUGAAUUACAUCUUGAGCAGGUAUGAACUUGGAACAAUUCCUACCUCCCAGGUAAAAUAACUCAUCUGAUGCAUUGGCGUACCAUGAGUUCUGCACAAAUUGAAGAGGCUGGGAAGGUGCAAGGAAAUUUUUCUAAUUCAUAGCUAAAUUUCUUCUGAUGAAGGAUAUGUGCAACCAACUGCAAGAAAACAAAUGAUUGCUCAGAUUUAUUUUCCACUGUAGGAAUAAUUGGUAACAUUGUUCUUCUUGGCAAAGAUGAAUAGUUGGAACCAGACUAUUUCACAGAGACAAAAUAUCCACAGGGAGAGAUUUUUGAGGCAGUCAUAGGAUGCACCCUACAGAGUGUGAUUCUCAUGACAUUAAAGCAGUGCUAAUGGCAUUGCGAUUAACUUCUAAUGAAAAAAGAAAUGAACCUGAUAAACACAGCAUAAAUGUUCUAAGGAAAGGGCAAUAAAAAUAUUACAUUUUAGGCAAGGUCUGGCUCUCACUAAAGCCAAAGGCGUUGAGCUUGCUGAACUUAUCCAAAACAGGAAAAAGAAUUUAUGACUGUGGAAGACGAAGAAAUACUGCCAUGCAUCUGAGCUGCUGAAUAACACUGUACCACAGAAGAGAUCCCCCAGAGUUUUGCAAUAGUAACUGUUGUGUUACUUUGUGGAAUUUUCUGAUCCUUUGAUAAUGUUUCCUCUUUUUAACAGCAGAAUCCACACUGCUUCUUGAAAUGUUUUAGAAUAUUUUCCCUUAUGCUUUUAUCCUAGAGAAGGAGGCAGGAUUGCAUUUGGUAUUUAGGACAGGGAGCUGGCAAUCUGGAUUCUUUUCAGCUUUGUCACUAGCCCAUGGUAUGACUUUGGUCUACUCAUUGUAGAGCACCAUGGCUUAGAGAAGCUAUGGGGGGUCUCUCUGUGCCUCAGGAAGGGCUCUGAUGGUGCCUACUAAAGGGACCACCUUUGCAAACUUGGCACUUGGCAUUCCUAGCUCCUGCACUGGUUCUUUGCAGCCUGGGAAAAAAUACUGCCACUUGCAGAACCCCAGGAAGCUGCGCUGAGGUACAGGUUCUCUGGGUUACCCACACAUGCUUCCUUGACUCAGUCUAUGAUUGCCAUGGAAUUGUAACACCAGAGCUUUGUUUUACUUUACCUUACCUCCAAUGUCAGACAAGCCUCGUAGUAAAGCAGGUGUCUAUUUAGAAACAAUGAAAAUUCAACAUUUAGAUACUAGACUGGGAGUAAGUAAAUGAGUAAAAUGUGAACACGUAAAACCAAUUUCAAUUCUGGCUUAAAUUUUGCAACCAGGGGCCGGAGGUUUUAAGCUAUCCUCACUGGAAUCUCAAAGAAUGUACACACACGCAGGCACUGGGAUCCGUUAGUCCCAGUUCUGAACAUACGCCAUGCUCCAUCCUUCUUUGGGCAACUCUUUGAAGUUCUCCACACUUUUAUUCCCUAGAAAUUAGGUUUUAUAAUAUAAAUGUGUCUCUAAUUGGCCUUUACCAAAGCCAGCAGCAAUGGAUAUUUUGCCAGUGGUUCCUCUGGGUUUAGACCUAAUUGACCUCUAUAAGUACACCUGCCAGCCCUUCCUGGGAACUAGGUGCCUUAUUAUUUCUGCCUUCCUCCUAGCCAGCCUGCUGGCUACUGCUUCCCACCCACUCUGAGCUGCUCCCUUUGUUUCUUUAGAAAGAAUUAUUAGUGUUAUUCAAGACAUUGGUUAUACACAGAUUCUAUUAAGUUAUGAUUUGUGAUGUUACCAGUUUCCCACAGAGACUUCUAUAUGCCAGUCUAUAUGAAUAUAGGUUACUGGUUGGAUAACAAGUUGCUUGGAGAGGACUUGUCUAUGGGAACAGGAAUUCCUCAGUUUCAUCCUCUGUCCCAGUCACAUAGGCUAAAAUUUUCAAAACCCUUCAAAGAUACUUAGUUUUUGAUGUCUGCCUUGAAAUGAGUCACUGAGCACCUCAAGGUUCAAUUGACCUGAUUUGAUUUUGGGCACUUGUCUUGAAGUGAGGUCACUGUCACUGGGUACCUUGAGAUUCCCCUGACUUUAUUUGGAUUUUGAGUGCUUGCUCUGGGGGAUGUACACACGGGAAGCCACAAGCUAAAUAAAAAUACGGGGGUUUUGUAAGUGCCUUCAACUUUAAAAUGGAACUUUCAGUUUCUAAAGGCUGGCAGGGAGUUAGUUUUGAGUCAGUCUUUGUGUGGUCAUUUUUAUUCUGGAAUGAGAGUGUUCCUGCACAGAAUUACACUAAAAUGUUUUGUCAAGAGACAUUGUCUUUUGUUUCCAUGAGUUUGCAAAUAUUCCCAAACAAGUUUGAUGUAAGCCAGCAAGACCCAGCUUUUAUCCUACCGAAUAAAAGCACCUCCCUGAACAACAUAAACUCUGGGCUAACUCAGAGCGCAGGGAGCUGCCAGCGCGGGGUGUGCUCCUGCCCUCCCGGCCGUAAGUCCCAGGCUUUUUGCCACGGCUCAGACAAGGCAGUUUGCAGCUGCUUCAGGGGGUCUCCGUAUAACACUGUCACAACAUUGUGUUUUGAUGAGACUUGAAUAAACUUUCGAAGUUACCUGCAUUCCUCUGAUGAAGGGCAUUAUAUGUGCAUAGUUUGUUUGCAUUGUUGCCUAAUUAUGAACAGCAAUUAAGACUUCAUACCUACAAUUGCCUUGAGUUCUUUACUACUACUACCAGCAAGGCAUACAGCAAAAUCUGUUCUUUAUCCAAGUGCUGUAGAACAAGCCACUUCCAUCAGCCUCACAUCUUCAACUGACAGCAGAAUGGCCCAGACCUGAAGCAGCUGACUCGAUGACACUGUGAUUGUGGCUUACGUGUACCUUAGCAGAGAUUGUACACACCUUAGCAAACUGAAUUAAAAUGAUAGUGCACAGGCAUCCAGCACAUACCAUCAAGCCUGAUUCUGCAGAUCCUCAGACCAUGAGUGAGCUUACCCACAGGAGCAGUCCAGUCUGGGGACUCCCACUGAUUACAACACUGCAGUGAGAUGAUUUGCAUACAGAAAAUUAUUCGUGUGGAUACGUUCUUGUAUUUAUUCCGUCCUGUAGUCCCUAGGUACCAUCAACUGUCAGUGACCCUCCUGGAGCUGGCAGUGUUCUGGACUUCAUCGUAUCCCAUGCAUCAGUCCUAACUCAGCGAUUCAUUUAACUGUAAACAAAUAGGAUCUUUAGAUGAAGUUAACGACUGUUACCUAUGUCAAAGAAACAGAGACCAAGAAUGAGGGUGAGUGGGGAGAGGACCAGCCAAGCCUCACGGGGUGGAAACACGGGAAAAAGACCCAGCAACAGAGAAUAAGAGGAUGUGAGCUGUACUGCGCUUGCAAUGAAAUAAUGGGGAAUUUUACCAUUAAAGCAGAACCAAGUUGUUCUUUCAGCAUUUCAGUACCCAUCACCACAUUAUCUAGGCGCCACCAUAAGAUUAAGAAGCUCUGCAGUGACAUUCUCAACAUGGUCUGUUCAAAGGUCAUUAGCAGAGCCUUUCAUACUGGGGAAGAUCGGAGGAGAGCACGGAAGUGAGCCGCAGAAGGAGAGAAAAAGGAAAAGGAGGUGGAAAGCUGCUGGUGCCAUUUUGGUUGUGCUCAUCCUGGGGCUCGCUUAGCUAGUCCUGAAUUACAGGAGCCUCAUGUCAGCUGCCUUUAUUCUGCUGCAGGGACUACGGUAUGUGUUGUGCACUGCUGUUGCCUCAGAAAGUUAUCUCACACGGCCUCAAGAUCCUGUCCCUGCGCUUUCUUCGGAUGCUGUUUACAUGCUUAUGCUUUAUGAUUUCUGUAUAUUACUGCCUCAGAGCAGGCCAUUUCUCUCAAAAACUCCUAGUAGAGAGCAAGCACUGCAACCCAGGGAGCCCCCUUCCCCAAACUAAUACAUCAGGUUCAAAUCUUAUUUUUAGCUUAGCAUGCAAAUGCUACAAACUUUGUGUUUGAAGAAGCCCCAAAGGGUGGUUUUCAACAUAUACAAAGUUACAUAGGACCCACGGAAUCAGGAAAGAUCAUUUUAUCCCAUGAGGCCUAAUCCUGCUUCCACUGAAGGCAGUUGCUGAGGCAUCUCUGAUUGCUGUGAGCACAUGCUGAGGACAACCUGGGGAACUUACGUUAUGGAAAAGUGGCACUGGCCGGAUUGCGCUCGCUGAUGCAGUCUGUUGCUACUUUUUCAAGGAGUAUACUGGUAAGUGAAAAAUUUGCCAAAGCAUUUUUUUUUCACCACUGCAAUUAGGAAGCCUGGUUCAGUCUUGAGGAGACCAAUGACAGUAUGCUGAUGUGUUGCUCAAACAAACCCCUGGAGGUCUUUUGUACCCCUUUUGGUACAAAAACACUAGGGGAUUUACACUAGGGGAUAAAUAGGUGGUUCCAAAGCAAGAAGAGCCAAAGUUGGAAGCUAACCACAAUACGUGGGUGUAAACGAUUACCAAAGGCUUCCAGUAACUCUGCUAUCAUCAGAGACUGGCUUUAUGGGUAUGGCCUCAAGAAGUUUCCCUCCACUUAAUUAAAGAGGCAGAUAAGUAUCUAGGUGGAGUGUGCAGAUAGGUUCUGAAUGAGUUAUCCACUAAGGCUGGUUCGCUGCACCUAUUGUUAAAGCCAAAAUAUAAUAUCAGAUUAAUGCAUUAUAUUUGCCUAUUAUAGCACUAUGUCAUCAUUAUAUGACAUGUUAUAAUUAAAGCCCUGCAUUAGAAACAAAACUAUUUGGCUUGGGAUAAGUUGCCUUUAUGACUUCUGUGGUUAUGAUUUCCUCCUUUUCUUAACCCCUUAAAACUGCAUAAUAUAGCUAUUUGUAACUGUAUAAAGAAAGUUUCUAGUUUCAGAUUCUAAUCUCAGGUAAUUCCAUGUAAAUAAAGUCAAAAUCUGGCACAUA